rnacentral:rRNA from 1 species
UGGGGAAUAUUGCACAAUGGGGGAAACCCUGAUGCAGCGACGCCGCGUGAGCGAAGAAGGCUUUCGAAUCGUAAAGCUCUGUCCUAUGAGAAGAUAAUGACGGUAUCAUAGGAGGAAGCCCCGGCUAAAUACGUGCCAGCAGCCGCGGUAAUACGUAAGGUCCGAGCGUUGUCCGGAAUCAUUGGGCGUAAAGGGUACGUAGGCGGAUAAGCAAGUUAGAAGUGAAAUCCUAUAGCUCAACUAUAGUAAGCUUUUAAAACUGCUCAUCUUGAGGUAUGGAAGGGGAAGUGGAAUUCCUAGUGUAGCGGUGAAAUGCGCAGAUAUUAGGAGGAAUACCGGUGGCGAAGGCGACUUUCUGGCCAUAUACUGACGCUGAGGUACGAAAGCGUGGGUAGCAAACAGG